AAAUUGAAGAGUUUGAUCAUGGCUCAGAUUGAACGCUGGCGGCAGGCCUAACACAUGCAAGUCGAACGGUAACAGGAAACAGCUUGCUGUUUCGCUGACGAGUGGCGGACGGGUGAGUAAUGUCUGGGGAACUGCCUGAUGGAGGGGGAUAACUACUGGAAACGGUAGCUAAUACCGCAUAAUGUCGCAAGAC
rnacentral:rRNA from 1 species